GUGGCUGUAGCUCAGUUGGUUAGAGUACAAGAUUGUGGCUCUUGGAGUCGGGGGUUCGAAUCCCCUCAGCCACCCCA
rnacentral:tRNA from 1 species